rnacentral:rRNA from 1 species
CCUACGGGGGGCAGCAGUCGGGAAUAUUGCGCAAUGGAGGGAACUCUGACGCAGUGACGCCGCGUAUAGGAAGAAGGUUUUCGGAUUGUAAACUAUUGUCGUUAGGGAAGAGAAAGGACAGUACCUAAGGAGGAAGCUCCGGCUAACUACGUGCCAGCAGCCGCGGUAAUACGUAGGGAGCGAGCGUUAUCCGGAAUUAUUGGGUGUAAAGGGUGCGCAGACGGGAGAACAAGUUAGUUGUGAAAUACCUCGGCUCAACUGAGGAACUGCAACUAAAACUGUACUUCUUGAGUGCAGGAGAGGUAAGUGGAAUUCCUAGUGUAGCGGUGAAAUGCGUAGAUAUUAGGAGGAACACCAGUGGCGAAGGCGACUUACUGGACUGUAACUGACGUUGAGGCACGAAAGUGUGGGGAGCAAACAGGAUUAGAUACCCCAGUAGUC